AUGCCUCUCCGCAGCCUGCACGCGGCGGCCGUGCUCCUGCUCGUGGUCUUAAAGGAACAGCCUUCCAGCCCAGCCCCGCUCAAUGGUCCUGACGGGGAGAAGAGCUGGUCCAAGACCUACCCUUCCUGUGGGGGCCUGCUGCAGUCCCCGAUAGACCUGCACAAUGACAUCCUGCGGUACAACGCCAGCCUCGGGCCCCUGGCCUUCCAAGGGUACAACCAGUCUGCCAGUCCGCAAUUUGUCCUCACCAACAAUGGCCACUCAGUGAAGGUGAAACUGCCCAAGGACAUGCAGGUCCGGGGCCUCGGGGCCCGCUACAAUGCCUCACAGCUGCACCUGCACUGGGGCGACAAGAACGACCCUCAUGGCUCCGAGCACACUGUCGGCGGGAAGCACUUUGCCGCCGAGCUGCAUAUUGUCUAUUACAACUCGGACCGGUACCCCAAUGACAGCGUCGCCAAGGACAAGCCAGAAGGCCUCGCGGUCGUAGCUGUUCUCAUAGAGGUGGGCUCCUCCAAUCCAGCAUAUGACAAGAUCUUCGAUCACCUUAAAGCUGUAAAGUACAAAGACCAAGAAGUGUUCAUUCCGGGUUUCAGCAUAGAAGAGCUGCUGCCAGAAAGGCCUGAAGAGUACUACCGCUACAGGGGGUCCCUGACUACACCUCCCUGCUACCCCACUGUGCUCUGGACGGUGUUCCGGAACCCUGUGCAAAUUUCCCAGGAGCAGCUGAUGAAGUUGGAGACAGACCUGUACUGCACGCACAUGGAUGACCCGUCCCCCAGAGAGAUGGUCAACAACUUUCGGCAGGUCCAGAAGUUUGACGAGAGGCUGGUGUAUGUCUCCUUCCAACAAGUGCCAGACCUUCCCUGCACAGGACUGAGUCCGGGUAUGUGGCCGGCCGGCCGUGCAUGUUGCAGCUGGGUGAUCGCUGUGAUUCUCGGUGUGAUCUGGGCCUCUGAGACUUCCAGCUCAUCCUCUCUGCUUCUCUGUGCUGUCACUCUGACUGCUAGGCCCCUCCUCACUGUGUGUCUUACCCUCAAGUCGCUCUCUGAUUCAAAGAUGAGCUGCCAAUCAAAUGCUCCUCUAAUGAAAGACCUAAUCACUUUAUAG
rnacentral:lncRNA from 1 species